UGCAAACUGUAAUGACAUUUAGGAGAUGACCACCUCAUCACGAUUAGGCAUGAGUGAGCCUUGGUACAAACCUCUGCCAGGCACUUACUAGCAUGUGACUUAGGGAAAGUUACUCUCUGAGCUUCAGUUUCUCAGCUACAAAAUGGAGGAGCUAAUGGUGCCAACCCUGUUGCCAACCUCACAGGGUGACUGGGUGUGUUGGGGGAAACAGCGCUCCACACAGUGGAGGGCUCGAUGUGCACUUGUGCCGCUACACACAGGCAGUCCACAGUUCCCUGCACAUCUCAUCUGAUGCUGGAGCAGGAGGCAGCCUUUCCACUCAUCUCACUGAGAAACAGAAAGAAGGGAGGCCUAGUGCUCUGCCAGGGCCCCACAGCUACAACCCAGCUUCAGGGUUCCCACUCUAGGGCUUGUUCCAUGACUAGGUUGAAGACAUUUCUGGAGAUGAAACUGAGGCAGAAAGCGGCUGAGAAAUAUUCUCAAAGUCACACAGCUAGAGUGGCUGAGCUUGGUUUUAUGCAACUGAUCGGAGAAGGUAGUGGACAGAGGAGAAGAAAGGAAGAGACAGGGCCCCAGGGCAAGAAAGAAAGGGAUUGACAGGGAACGCCGCUGCAGGGAAGGGACUUCGGGGACUGCUCAGCAUGUCCGCACAGGAAAAGAGGCCCAAGCCCUUGUUCGGUUCAUUCCAAAAAGUGGAUUGACAUCAAGAUGAAUGGCCAAUUAGGGAAGAUUGCAGAGACAAUUUACAGAGCAAGUUCGCUCAUAUUCUGGGGCUAGAUCAGUUGGGGGAGACUCCAAAGGCCCGUCUUCAGUAAAAAUAAUCUGAUGAUCGCUAAUUCUAUAGCCAUUAGCUUUGGAGAGACUGGUGUGAGACGGUGUAAAGUGUUAAAAUGACUCUCUUCCUUUGGGGGAGAACUUACAGCCUUAAUUCAGCUGGGGUUGCAGUCCAUGGGUCUUAACUGAAAGAGAGAACAUCAGUCCCAGGCAUCACAACAGAGAAGCCCAGGAGACCCAAAGAAUCAGCAAUCUGUUUCUCCAGUACUUGAAGGACAGGGUAGACAAUGGUCUUUGGAGGAAGUUUAAAGCUUUCAGACGUUGAGGUGGACCAGACGGCCUCUAAGGGUUUCUCCCUACCAGAAGAGUAUUUGUUUGUAUGGUUCAGUUACUAAAUGGACACCAUGGGCUAUCCAUUCUUCUUGUUCAAGCAUCAUAGAACCAAAGCCAUGACCUGCCAGUCUAGAGCUGGCUUUCAGCUUGGAGCUUGCUUGAGCACAGGGGAAGGAGAGUGGGGUGGGGAAUGGGAUUCCACAACCUCUUCCCAGCUUCCCAGCUCUGAUGUCCUCUCUCUCGCCUGAGGUGUGAGGGGGUAAUGGCUCUGAGCAACCCUCACAGCCAUACAGCGAGAGGAUUAAUUAAUGUGGCUAACAUGCUCGGAGAUCCCUAAACGAGGACGUUAGCCAAGGGCCAACAUUAUUAGAGGGAUGAUGGCUAUUAGGAUUACGCUAUUGUUAUGAUGUUUGCUUUCUCAACCCUUAAAUCACACUCUACCUCGCCAUCACUUGCAUUUUGUGUAAUUAUAGUUUAUAUAGGUAACAAAUGGAUAUUUCUGCAAGCCUGGGAGAGAGCCUUCUGCAUACAUUAAUUUGCUUGAUUAGUUCUCUAUUUAGUAUGCUCUGUUCCCCCAAACCCCCCUUUCCUGCCCAGCUUCAACAGAAAAUUAAUGAGUUUUAACACCUUGUAAAAGUGGGUUGUGCUGUGGGAAUACCUUGAGUGUACUUUGGGUUUUAAAUCCACACAUUCAGAGGCUUCCUAAAGGUUAUGCAAAGGUUAACAAACAAUUAAUAUGUUGAAUCAGUGUGCUAAAUCUGUUUACCCAAUCUUUGCAAUCUAAAGGCCAUUAGCCAUCAGCCUCAACACUUACAUUGAUCUCUCUCUUUCCUAACCCACCCCCACUCUGUUCUCUGAAUAAUCUGAGUCAAAAGCAAGAAAAAGUUCUGAAUCGAGAGCAGUAAAUAUCUCUGGAAAGUUUGGGGUUUCUUGCUACUUAAGCCUCAAAGCUUUGGGAAUCGUAAUAGACUUGAUCAAGUUGUCAAAAAUUUUGAGAAUACAAUGAAAGAUGGGAAGCAUUUCCACCUUUUUAACAAUGAGCAAAAUGUGAGUUAGUCUUGUACAUGGAUCCCAUCUUGAGUUCAUGGCUCUUGUGCUGAUUCUCUCCCUUGUUUAUAG
rnacentral:lncRNA from 10 species